rnacentral:rRNA from 1 species
UACCGAACAGCAUCCGGCGCAGUUUUUCUAUCUGAGCCCGCAGAUGUUCUAUUUCCCGUUCAUCUUCUUCGAUCUUUUCUUUGGCACGUGUCAGUGCAGAGCGCAGGAAGGCUUCCGUCUCUUCAACCAGACUCAGUUGCUGGUCUUUCUGACGGAGGGCUUCAGCCUGCUCAGAGAGCAACCUUUCCAGCUCUGCGAUGCGAAUGAGGUAUUUCUGACUCAUGACCGUUUUUAUAAUGCGGUCAGGAGUUUUUUACAACAUUGUCAGUGAGUUACGGCGGGAUGUUUUUGGCUGACGCCAGUCCAGCUUAUCGAGGAGCAUUGCCAGUUGCGAGCGGGUAAUGGAUACCUUGCCGUCACGUACCGCAGGCCAGAUAAACUGGCCUUCCUCCAGG